rnacentral:lncRNA from 1 species
UAUUCUCAGUUUAACUGACGGCUGAGAACUCUUCUGUCAGUGUUCUCCGAGGGGUGCGAUGAGUGAGCACCUGCCACCUCUGGACACGCCAUGCCCCUCUCCGGCGAUGACCUUAUCUGUCCCAAGUUCCAGCCCAACAUCUUCGACUCCUCCCGUUGCCACGACUGCCUGCGCCAGAAGCACCUGCACUCGGGCACGAGUACAGGCACGGGUACAGCCGAAACACUACAGCUGAGCCUCACAGCGGAGAAGGAGCCAGGGCAAGCCACUGGACCUCCACCAACACUACUACCAGCACCACAGGCAGUGGAGAGAA